GUGAAGAGUCCAUUUUACAUUUUCAGCCUUUGAACGAAAACGACGUCUCCCGGUCGGAAUAUUGUCGCUAUUUUACGAGAAAAAUCGCAUAAAAAUUGAUUUUAAAGAGCUUUUGACAUGCUUCGAAGUACGGUAACGGAAUAUUAUGAAUUUUUUUGUCACGAAACGCGCCGGCGCGUCACCCUUCGUUACCCUUCAGAUAGUGUCUUGAACGCGCGAACAAAACGCCGCUAUUUGGAUAUAACUAUGGAUUAUUUGGAACCAAACCAACAUUUGUUGUUGAAGUAGAAGUCCUGGGAGUGCAUUCUGAUGAAGAACAGCAAAGGGAUUGUGGAUGCAUAGAGCUCCAUGACAGAGCGCUCUGAGCAGUUCUUCAGUGAUCUGCACACUUCGACAGAUGAUCUGAAGAGGACCUCUCACCCCCAUCACUGUCAAUAAAGAAGGAAAACCCCCAGCACACCAUGGGCAUUCACCAAGUGUAUGAGUAACUUUAGCACGUUUUUGGAUUAGAACGACAUAAUGUCACCAUUGCUUACUGAAGAAGAGACCCUGAAUAACUGUCCUUUCUGAAUCUGAUUCUCCUUGUUGUUUAAAUACGUUCUGUUCCAGGAUCAGCAGCCGACUGUUCCCAACCAUGUUGGAUUUGUAUUUAUUAAGGAUCCCCAUUAGCUGCUGCCAAGGCAACAGCUACUCUUCCUGGGGUCCAAAAUAUUAACGCAUUUACAUCACAUAUAAAACAAAAGAUAAAACAGUACAUCAUGUAACAUUAUUACACCACUACAUAUCUACAAUACAAAAUGUUUAAUACCACCAUACAACAAUAUCGAAAUGUAUGUGUAUGCAUUUGUCUGUAUCUUUGUGUGUGUCUCUUCACAGUCCCCGUUGUUCCAUAAGGUUACCUGCUUUUUAAAUCUGAUUCUACUGCUUGCAUCAGUUACCUGAUGUGGAAUAGAGUUCCAUGUAGUCAUGGCUCUGUGUAGUACUGUGUGACUUAGGGACUGUGAAGAGACCUCUGGUGGCAUGUCUUGUGGGGUAUGCAUGGGUGUCUGUGUGCAAGUAUUUUAAACAGACAGCUCGGUACAUUCAGCUUGUCAACACCUCUUACAAAAUCAAGUAGUGAUGAAGUCAAUCUCUCCUCCACUUCGAGCCAUGAGAGAUUGACAUGCAUGUCAUUAAUGUUAGCUCUCCGUGUACUUUUAAGGGCCAGCCGUGCUGCCCUGUUCUGAGCCAACUGCAAUUUUCCUAAGUCCCUCUUUGUGGCACCUGACCACACUACUGAACAGUAGUCUAGGUGUGACAAAAAUAGGGCCUUAGGACCUGACUUGUUGAUAGUGCUUUUAAGAAGGCAGAGCAGCGCUUUAUUAUGGACAGACUUCUCCCCAUUUUAGCUACUGUUGUAUCAAUAUGUUUUGACCAGUUUACAAUCCAGGGUUACUCCAAGC
rnacentral:lncRNA from 1 species